GUGCCAGCAGCCGCGGUAAUACGAAGGGGGCUAGCGUUGUUCGGAUUUACUGGGCGUAAAGCGCACGUAGGCGGAUUGGUCAGUUAGAGGUGAAAUCCCGAAGCUCAACUUCGGAACUGCCUUUAAUACUGCCAGUCUAGAGUCCGGAAGAGGUAAGUGGAACUCCUAGUGUAGAGGUGGAAUUCGUAGAUAUUAGGAAGAACACCAGUGGCGAAGGCGGCUUACUGGUCCGGUACUGACGCUGAGGUGCGAAAGCGUGGGGAGCAAACAGGAUUAGAAACCCCCGUAGUCC
rnacentral:rRNA from 1 species